CCCGCUCAUAAUCUAGUACCGCAAAAUGGACUAGACAACUGUAGUAGUGCUAGAAACUAAUAGAGUUAGGUUUGAAUAAGCUUGUAGUAGUAGUCAUGAAAGCUUCCUGCUUGAAUAGUUUUAAUUUAAUAAAUUAGUCCAAAUUGAACUUCCAAGAAAUAAAGUACUCUCCAAUUGUGCCUAAAUCUUAGUUCCAAGUGAAUAAAGUUAUUCCUAGAGUGCCAAAAGUUGUUCUACUGUGAAGAAGAAAUCCUCCUAGUGGCAGUUAGCUGCAACACCGUGAGCUUUGUGGAACGCGAAGUAGCUCAAAAUCCUAUGCCACCACCACCCGCACAGCAUAGAGCUACUCUACAGCCAGAAUCCGAUUUUCCACCUGUGAAAUUCCACCGGAAAUCCCGAACCUGCCCCAACAUAUUUGGUGCCGUGACCAGGAUUCGGUUUCCGUUUCGCCAUUGUGUCCGUGAUCCGAGUGACCUUCAACCGCCAUCGCGAGAAGACGUCGCUAUUGAAAUUCCGCCAUCAUUUUCUACUGAUCAACCGCCAUUCCUCCGAAGAAGAUUCCCGAGUGUUCCAGAAUAUUAAUACAAGGCCUAUUGAAAUUAGGCACACGUGAACGCAAGAGCUUUGCCCGUUUCCGGCCCAUUCCCGCCGGUGAAUAGAAGUGCCGUUUCCCGUUUCCCGCCCUCGAGAGUGCUACCGAAUACCCAGAGGCCAUUCCGUCACCAUUUCCGCUAAUCCGGCCAACCCUCCAUCGCCGAGAAUCCGCAGUAUCCAGAGGUGUUUUAUAAGAAAUACAAGGCAUUAUCCUAGCCUUGAAGAGAACCGCCAUUUUGUUACGCCGUACCCCAACCGUUCCGUCAUGGAGGAACAACGCCAGCUUCAGCUAACCAACCGCCGCACGACCCUCAUGGCUUCACUGGGGAGAGCCGAGCAGUUUGUGUCGAAAUACCAAGCCGACCGUGAUCAAGCCCAAGUACCGCUGCGCAUCGAGAACAUCGACAACGUGUGGAUGGGACUGGAGGAUGUUCAAACGCAACUUGAAGAACUGGAGGUCACCGAAGAAGGUAGGGAACAGAACAACCAAAUCCGUUCCAAAUUCGAAUCCGUUUACUUCAAAGUGAAGGCUGCUCUAAAUUCCCUCUUACCCGCUAAUCCAAUCCAAAUUCCAAGCGCAAUCCCUAACC